UACAGAGGGGGCAAGCGUUGUUCGGAAUUACUGGGCGUAAAGGGCGCGUAGGCGGCCUGCUAAGUCGAACGUGAAAUCCCCGGGCUCAACCCGGGAACUGCGUCCGAUACUGGCAGGCUUGAAUCCGGGAGAGGGAUGUGGAAUUCCAGGUGUAGCGGUGAAAUGCGCAGAUAUCUGGAGGAACACCGGUGGCGAAGGCGGCAUCCUGGACCGGUAUUGACGCUGAUGCGCGAAAGCCAGGGGAGCAAACGGG
rnacentral:rRNA from 1 species